CCAAUUUUAGCGAACCUAACCUCUUGGGUUAUGGUCUCGCGAAAUUCUUGUAUUUAAAACCCCACUCUUUAUAAAAAUGUGAAUCCUAUUAUAUAUAAUAAUAAAUAAAGA
rnacentral:misc_RNA from 1 species